AUUCUGCCCAUGCGGGGAAGGAUGAGAAGCUUCGACCAAGGUUCGACUCGAGCGCCAGCGAGAGAGCGUUGCCGCAGGCAACGACCCGAAGGGCGAAGCGCGCAGCGCUGAGUAAUCCUUCCCCCACCAC
rnacentral:sRNA from 1 species